CUCUCUUAUUCCACUGUCUCCACUCCUUUCUUCGGCCUGUGGAGUGACCCGACAAACAAAAAAGCUGUUUCAGAUUUCUGAAUGCUGAACAUCCAUAUUUCACAGGAAGCUUCUGGAGGAUUCGUGCCUGUGUCGAGCGUCACCGCGGCCUCCCGCCUCCUCUCAGCCUCGGCUUCCUUAAUCAACAUGGCAGCUGUGUUCCCACUGCUCCCACCUCCCUUCUUCUCCUCUCGUUGUCAUAAUCAUACGCAAGACUGCCAUGACAGCGGAGUGACCCCCGCGCUCACAGAGAGCAAGCGUACGACUGGUUGAAAGCAUUGAUUAUCACGGAGCAGUCCUUGAUGGAGCAGUUGGGCUUGAUGCGUGUAAUUG